GUUUAUGUUUUGUUCAAGAAUCUCAAAGAGCGGCCGGCAAAUUGUUUCUGCUAUGUCCUUGUGAUUCUGUGAUGGUAUUCUUUGCUGCCCUUGAGAUUUAGCUAGACAGUUUUGAGAGAGCUAGAAGGUGAAAAAAAGGGCAUGCCAAAAUAUUCUUUAGCUGUGUAAUUUAUUACCUAAUUUCUUUUUCCCUUUGAUUCUAUAUAGAAUGCUAGAGCUUAGAAAGGCUCUUGUUGAUGUUGAAUUGUUAACAUCAA
rnacentral:misc_RNA from 1 species